rnacentral:rRNA from 1 species
GAUGAACGCUGGCGGCGUGCCUAAUACAUGCAAGUCGAGCGAACGGACGAGAAGCUUGCUUCUCUGAUGUUAGCGGCGGACGGGUGAGUCACACGUGGAUAACCUACCUAUAAGACUGGGAUAACUUCGGGAAACCGGAGCUACUACCGGAUAAUAUUUUGAACCGCAUGGUUCAAAAGUGAAAGACGGUCUUGCUGUCACUUAUAGAUGGAUCCGCGCUGCAUUAGCUAGUUGGUAAGGUAACGGCUUACCAAGGCAACGAUGCAUAGCCGACCUGAAAGGGUGAUCGGCUAGACUGGAAGUGAGGCACGGCCCAGACUCCUACGGGAGGCAGCAGUAGGGAAUCUUCCGCGAUGGGCGAAAGCCUGACGGAGCAACGCCGCGUGAGUGAUGAAGGUCUUCGGAUCGUAAAACUCUGUUAUUAGGGAAGAACAUAUGUGUAAGUAACUGUGCACAUCUUGACGGUACCGAAUCAGAAAGCCACGGCUAACUACGUG